AAAACAAAACACAACAGACUCAUCGUUUCUCAUUGGAUCAGUGCUGGGGCUUCAAAGAGGCCUGCUCAUCCCCAUGCUCUUGCGACCCUUUGCCGGAUGCCUCCCUACAGCAGCCGUGCAGAACAGAACUCUUUCUAAAACGUCACCCACAGCAGACGCCAGUGCUUCAGCCAUGGCUUGAACGUUCUCACGUCUCCCACUAUUAUCUGCAUCUGAGUUCUCUUUACUCCCCUUAAACUACGACCGUGAAAGAGAGCGAUUUCUACAUCAUUUAGUUAUUUAUCUCCGUAAUACUCAGGAGUGAAAUUUUUAAAAGUGGCUACCAUUACUCUUGCUGCUAACAAUUGGCAGCUAUCCUGGGGAAGUGGUACGCGGGAUGAAAUGAGCCCCUGUAGGAAACAUGGCCUUUUCUUGUUUCUAAUAUUUUUUCGUCUUUGGUGUCAUCAGUCAAAUUAAUCUAUUUUCUCUUUCCACAUGACUCUCCAAAGUGAGAGAGAAGUUAAGGGUUUGAAGAGGCUGUUCUGGGCUUCCCACUGAACAUGGGGCUUAGGAUGUGGCUGGGCACCUGCUUCCCUUAACCCCUUGAGAUCUGAGAAUUCAGAACCCUUUCCUGUAGCCUAGCAAAAACAAAAACAGGAACAAACAAGGUGGGGGUGGGGUAUGUGGUGGCAUGGGGUGGGGGAUGUAUUACAGAAUACCAGUGCUGGUAUCAUGUUUCUCUUCCCCAUCUCCAUGUCCUAUUCCUCUUCUUCAUUUAUUAUUGUUUUAAAAAAUAACUCAUUGUGUCCAAUUAGUGGUACCUAUUCAUGGCACCAUCCACUAGAGCUUAAAAAAUACACAGACUCUACCUCAUGCUCAUGUAUACUCGAGGGUACAGACCUGACAGUAUACAGAAGACAAGAGAGAACAAUGUAAAGGGCUGAGAGAAAUACAAGUUCUGAGACUUGGGGAGGCACGGUCUCUAUGUAGGAUCCGUGAGUGCCCGGGCAUACUUGGAACUGACACCCGCCGGGACCUACAGGAUGGAGACCUAGCAGGUUAUUGAUUUUGCAGGUGUCUGAAUUUGAAGUGACAAAUUACUUGGUUACAGUCAGCUUUAGUGUUGCCUUCUUUACACAACUACACUAACACAUUUCUAGGCAACUUUGAGGACUCUUAAAAUUAAAACGUUUUAUAAAUAACAAAGCCACAGAGGGAAAACCAGGUGUAUUUACUAUUAUCAAAGUUCAUCUCCAUGUGCGUGUCUGAACAUAGCAACAGCAGCACAGAGGGAUCGCCUCAGUUACCCUGCUCCUCUGGAUCAUUUAGCUGCUGGCUAUGGUAUAGAGCUUCCAUGGUAUAGGACUUCUAUGUUCUAGAACUCCCAUGGUAUAGAACUUCUAUGGUAUAGAACUUCUAUGGUGUAGAGCUUCCAUGGUGUAGAGCUUCUUGUUCCAUCUCUGACUCCUUCCCCUUGCCCUCUGCUACAUGUGCUAUUCCCUCCAUCCCAUGCCAUUCAGAGAACACAGCCCUACACUCCUGCAGAGGCAGACUCAGGUACCUCACAUCUCUGUGUCUAAUCCCUUUGGGGGGGGGGUGAGGAUACACAGCCACCAAGUCUUGUGAAGCUAUGCCAGCCAUCUCAGCCAUUCCCCCGACACAUUCGUGACAUCCUCCUGCCGUAGAGGCUGAGGAUUUAUGUGACUUUAAUUGAAGGCUACAGAAGGGACAGGGAAACAUCAGCUCCUAUCAAUCACCGCGUCCCUUGCUUUCAUUGUGUACUUAACAGCUUGUUACUUAUUCAGGAGGGGGAUUCUGCACUGAGUCUGUCUCCGUGCAAACAGUCUUCCCAGGCUGAAGAAAGCCCUGAAACAGGGAGGUGGCCUCAUUAGGCACACAGGCCUGUGCCGCAUACCGAAACAUGGAGACACAGUGCUGAUGACCACGACUACAGUGGGGGAGUCAAGGGUUCCAGCAUCCUCCCGCUUUCCUGUCUAUGUCCCCGCAAGACUUCCCAGGCGUGUUUGACACCAUGGCCCUUUGUUGUGUUUUCAAAGCGAUCCUUGCUUGGCUCUUCUCAACAAUGAACUCUGCGACUGUUUAACUGAAAUCUCCUAUGGGGGGAACUUGAUGUCUGGUUUACUGUGCUCUCUUACAGAAUGCCUGCAGCACAGCAGACCCCUGAAGGAGCGAGCAUACGGCUGCAUGCACGUGAGGAAUGCUAACACUCAGUCUUGGUUCUGACUCCCCUUUUACCUUACGCCUCUACGCCAUCUGUAGAGGCUUGAGGACCCUUCAUCUUUAUCUUUUCUAAGGGCCAUCCUUUAGGGGGCUCAUUCAAGACCCAGUACGGUUAUCACCCGGCUCUCAGGUACUGCCUUGGCGUGUGAUGCUGAACUGUUCCUCCUGACCCCCAGGCAGAUCUCAGUCCCAAGUUUACCCGCCCAAGGUUUUGCUUCCCAACUUAGCUCAGCCCACUACCCUGGUGGUCGAAGUUAGGUUCCUACUUGCCAGUCGUUUCCCACUGAGCUACUGAUGUGUCUGACCCUGCGGACAGGCUCUUCUGUGAACCAAGGAAGAUGUCACCUGGGAACCAGUUAGAGGUCGCUUGGGCCUUUGUGUGGUCUUUAAAAUAAGGGGGUUUGCAAGCCAAUGAUGCGUAUUUUCUUAAUCCGUUUCACACAGAAGAAGGGGUUUUAGUGUGAGAUUUGCAAUCUUGUUCUUCAUCUAUUUCCCUAUUUCAACCUGACUACCUGGUUCAAAUUACCAACUGAUACCUGGGUAGGUUAUCAUGCAGAGAUAAGUGCCCCCUGCCCCACUGCGCCCCCAACAAUGGAGCAAACAUGACGGUCACCAUACAUGUGACUUCAGUAGUCCCUGGUGGGUGGGCAUGGAGUGACAGUGACCAUCAUGAGCCAACACAGUGAGCCUACAACCUUGAGCUGAAUAUACAAGGUUCCCAUGGGUCUGACACGCCCCGGGGAGUUUCCAUUCCUCUGCCCUAAACCUCUAGGGUUACUGGGAAUUUCUCCAAGGGCACAGGGAAGUGCUUGUGCUUGGAUUCAGAUUCCCCAAACAACAAGGAAAAAACCCAGGGGGCUCAGCGAGCCCCUCUGGAGGUCUGAACAGGUGAGACUGGCAGCUCUGCCUUGGGUUCCACUGGUGGUGGCCGAGUUGGCAGCCAUAGAGAUUUGCUGUGGCAGAAUACUUAAAGAUGUUCACACAGAGGGACAGAAGGGACAGUCGUUCAUUGUCCUCCUAUGGGACUCCAUCACUUGAAAAGUAAGGCCUAGAAAUUACAAUAUCAGCCGACUUCCAUACAUCCAUUUCCUUCACAAUGGUUGGCAUAUGCUGAGAAGGGAAUGCUCGGAGGGGCUGCUCACCACCACCCGGCCUUGCAAAGAACAAGGACACAGGAAGGAAGAAACGCAAUCACUAGCCCAAGGAAGAGACACCCAGGGAUGGGCACCAUUGUGUAGGAUGAGGUGAGGGAUAAUACAAAUUAUGAUUUCAGACCCUGGUAGGCAAGCUACACCAUGUUCUUUUCACAUCUGAAUCUCUGUACAGCAUGUUCUUGGUGACUACAGUCAAGGUCCUUGGAACACUCACAGUAGCUUACUUGAGUUUUUAAAAAGCCAGGUAUAAAUAUCAAUGCUGCUGCAGAGUACGCAGAAUAAAAUUUAACAUCUUUUGAGGGAGUCUUACUUCUGAGGCGCUGUUUGAAGUGCUUUAAGUGUCCUAUCUCGUUAGAUUUACAAUUCGCCAUCCUGUGAAAUCAGUCCUGUGGUCUCUGCCCUUUGCCAUACGAUCACAGACAGGCCCUGGGCAUGGCAAGUUUCUGGGAACAUACAGAUACUGAGCCAUGAAGUUGAGGGAGACUCUUCCCUUCCUUCUUUCCUUCUGAAGAUAAGGAGGGUCUCCCAGCAGCUGGGCUCUAGCUCACCCCCACUAUCCUCCUGGUUCAGCAGGUCAAGUACCAGAAUAAGGAGGCUGGAGCUUAGCUGACUGCCCCAUCUCAGGAGAACUACAGAGCAAGCAUCAGGAAGACAGGCAUAUACUCUGAGCCACAAGAGGAAGCCAGCAGAGAAACCUGUGUGUCCCACACAGAAUAGCCCUUGGAAAAGUGGUUUUACAUCAGGUCAGUUUCGCCUUUAAUGUGUUUGUUGGCCUCCUGCUGAGACAGAAUAGGUUCACCUUGUGAGCAGGCAAGCUCAGGCUGCCAGCCCUCAGCUCUUCAGAGCCACCCAGAGUUUUCCCAGGGCAAAGGCUUCCUGUCUCCCUCCCUUCAGUGUCCCCUACCUAGCUCUCAUGGUGGCAGCCUCUAUACCUAAAAUAUCAUAGUGCCUCAUGUCCCCCCAGUCCUCUCUGGGUUCCCUUAGUCCCCCCACCCCCGACCCAUACGCCCUGAAACCCAGCAAACCUGACCCUGCCUACAGUUGCCCAAUUGACGCAGAGCACAGUUCCGAACCCGUUCUCUCCCAUGCCUCUUUGGAGACUUUUCUUCCCUGUGAGCCACUCCGAGGCUACCACUCACACCUGUUUCAGUGUACCAGGCUGGCACGAUGCUUCAUGUCCUUUGUGGACACAGUGUGGCUUCUUUGGAAGCUUUUUUCAGAAUGGUCUAUGAAACGCCCCACUCCCCACAGCACCAGCCCAGCCUCAGCCUGGCUAUGGAAGCUGGGUGUGUCUGGGGUCCUGCAAGCGGUACCAGAGAGGCAAGGGUGGGAAAGCACCUCCCCCACUUUCCAGAGGCCAAUCAUUGUCUAAGGUAACCGUGAUUCCAAGUACAUGCCCUUUCACAGCUGGCCCACAUUCCAGGACAACAUCCAACAGAGAGCAGAGCCCUUCCAAAGGCAGAAUGAAUGGCUUUCCCGGUAUUAACUCCCUGGUGUUUAAUGUCCGUGGACUCUGCAGAGAGCCACCUCCGAGAAUCCUGCAGGCAUAAUUGCCUUUCUUGCACUAGACCAGACCUCCGCAUCUCAAUGUGGUUGUGGGGCACUGCCCAGAAUUAAGAACUACAGGAGUCAAAGAGACACAGCUGGAUUACUGACCCUAGAAGGACGGGGCGGCCUGCCUGCUCCAGACCUUGCUGGGAGGUGAAGGCUAUCGUGGGAAAAUGACUACGUAUGAGAGACAAGGAGAGUCCACUAGUGAGAGAGACAAUGCACUUAUUCUACGACGGGGUGGACUGCCUCGUCCUCAUUAAUGGUGGAAACUGAAGAGUAAUACUCCAUUUCACUAGGGACUGUUGUUAAAACAAGUCUCAAAGAGGAUAUAAGGAAUGGAACCAUUACCAGACCUGCAACCCACUGAUGAUGCAGAAGCCACUCGGCCAGGAAAACAAGAGAAGGGGCAACAGAGAAGUGAGAGGUGAGGGAGAGGCUUGCUUGGGGUAUGCUGGGUCGGGGCUCACUGGGGUCGGGGCUAGCUGGGGCCAGGCCGAGAAACAGAAGCUGUGCACUGAAGGCCAGUGUUGUGAUGAACUAAGACAGUCCUUUCAGUUCCACUGGGAAACAGUUUCAAGUGGCCAUCACCAUCUGAAGGCCAGGUAUGGGAACUCAUUUUUUCUUCAGAGUGUGGAAUGGGUGCCAGAACCCUGACAACUGUACACCUCAGGAAUGGCUGCCGUGGAGAGUGGGGUGCUCUCCUCGCAGCUUAGUGCUGACUACUCCUGAGGCCUGGGCUGGGUUCUGGGCUGGGAACCUAUAAGCCAAUCCACCUUUCUGGAACACAGAGAGCAUGUAUAAGAAAGCCAGAAUACUCUCCCAGACGUCACUGGAACCAUCUACUGUGCUGCGGUGACAGAGGCCCUGCGAUGUCUGACCCCUCAGAAACUCUCGCUGACUUCUGCCAUGUUCACAGUGAAGUCUGCCCUCCCAGAUGCAAAUCUCUGAAGCCAGAAAACCCCUCCAGGUUUCUCCUUUUCAAACUGUGGCCAGAGGGUGGCAAUCAAAACUAAUUCAAUAGGACACACCGUGGGGAGGGGAUGGGGCUGCAUGCACAGACAGGUACAGUACUGAAGUCGAAUGAGUUUUCACAAGACUGACUGUUUCUGAAGACAUAUCAAGAAAUGUGUUCUGUGGAAGAGGAGCUGGGCAGCCCUUUCCUGAAGAAAGAGACAGACACGUCACAGGAGAUGGGACAGCUGUGCAUUUGCCCCAUGGGACCAGCAUGACUUCCCACCUGGCUGAGUGCUCACCACACAGGUGAGCCUGGCUUCUGGCUCAUUCCUGUGUGUGCUUGCGAUUCUUGUGUAUCUUAAGCUUCUGCAUGGUAUGGAGCGCUGACCAGGAGGUUGGUACUAUCUAUUGAGUCAGUUAAUGAGCCUGGUCACUCCUCCUAAUGUCCUGGUUCUGACACAACCUUCUGUCCCUGCAGAAGGCUUCAUCUUGGCAGCAGGUGUGGACUCUUCUUGCCAGUGUGGCCUGACCAGAGACAUUUCUACCUCCUGUUAUUUUCUAGAUCCCCGUGAGUGCUCAUCAUCCAACAUGAGGGCCAGCACUGCAUCUUCUGAGACAAGGCAGAUGGGGAGAAGUUCAAGGGGACAGUGUCACACUGUCUGUCUGGAUGCUGUGUGUCCUCCCAAGGCAAUCUCUAAGAACCAUGCCAAGGCUUCUUAAAAAUGUCCAGCUCAGGUUUCUCCACAUGGAGGGAGUGAAGUUCAGGCCUUGAGCUUUUACUAAAGAGUUUACUUUUUUAUUGACUAGUGAAGCAGGCUCCCUUAGGGUUGUCGAGGCCAGGGAAGGGGGAGGUAAUUUUAUGCUUAUAUGGUGUCCGUUAGUCUCUGGGUGCCAUGACGCCCUCCUUCCUAACCAUGGAGCUGUGCUCUGUCUUAAGAGUAACUAAGGGCUCACAGGGAGGUGCCAUUCACAUGGGUGAAUUUGAUCCUCACCAUGUGAGGUACCUGUUCAGGGCCUGUUCUUCUGUUUCCUAGCUUGCCUUCCUCAUCUACAAUCUGUGGAUACUCUCGACGCCUACCUCUGUACUCACGCCAACAAGCUGGUGAGUUCUGCCCAGGGAUGGAGACCCAUCUGCAUAGAGAGCUGCUCUGCUGAGCUACCAAACACUCCUUCCACCUUGAUACACUCGGGAGGCUCCGAUAACUUCCAGGACAGCACAGGAUUUGAACCUUGUGACUAUGGAUGGUAUGCAGCUAGUGAGAGCGACUUCAUCCUACAGUGGCCAUGAGAUGAUGGAUGGACAGCAGAUGCUAUCAAUCUAUGGAUUCUCUGAACUGAAACGACCAAGCCUCUUACUAAGAUUGCUGCAGUUUGGAAUUCGAUAUCUUUUGGUAUCAAACCUACAAUGUGACUGUGAAUUACUGUUUCCACGUGGGAAGAUGAGAAUGUUCCCCCUGGUACUUCCUACCACAGUGAUUUCCCUCAUGCAUGGAUGAAGCAAUAAAACAUAUGAUGGGUUGGAACUCUGAAAAUGUGAGCCCAGGUAAACCUUUCUUCUUUUUAUGUUUGCGUAUCUCAGGUAUUUCAUCACAGUGAUGGCAAGUCCACCAACACAGGAUAGUAAAUAUUACACACCUAAACAUCCUCUUUUGCUAUUGAGCUUGGGAUCUAUAGAUCUUAUUAUUUUUUUUUUUUUUAGAUAAUAGAUCUUUCUACUUUCUUGAUCAUGGAAAGACAUACAAUAUCGUAAAAUCUAGAGACUUCUACUUAUAACCUAAUCGCUCUUAACCCACAAGAGUUAGUUCUUGGGUUGGAAGCUCCAACAGCUUCCCUACACCACCUACAAGGCCUCGGAUGCAGAAGCCUGCUGAUAAUGUCCACCUUCAAGACAAUAGCUGAAACAGAAGCAACAGAAAUGAGGAAAACAAAUGCGCAAAGCCAAUCGCUUCACAGCUUGGAAAAGAAGAGCCUCGAGUAAACUUAAAUGUUAGCGGGACUGCAAUUAGGAAGACGAUGCUCCGGGCCAUUUCCUCAACUCUACUGCACACAUUUCUCCCGGAUGGAUAUGUAUUGCUGAGUUUAUAAUUAGAGAAAAAGAAGUCAUUUUCCAUGUAUGCUUGAAAUGCAACCAAACAAUAUAUACAAUAUAUACAAUAUCCUUAUAAUAAUAAAAUUAUAUAAGAUAAACAUAUGUAAGAAUCAUAUUUAUCAAUAUAAAUAUAAAAGGAAA
rnacentral:sRNA from 1 species